UUCGUCGCCACGCUCCCAGACCUACAAGGGAAAACCGGAGCACAUCAGCGGCCUGAUCCGGGGUGGCAUUUCGGGGAGAAACUGACAAUAUUCGCGGCUCCACACAUCUCGAGGUACCGCCAGCUCUCGCCGGCUGCGGAGGUGAAUCAGACUGCAAAAAGGAUCUUGCUUUUCCCUCCGCUGGAGGAGAUUAUGGGGCAGGCAGAGGCAUCCUGCUGGAGUCAUUCAGCUUCAGCCCCAUUCCUGCUGUCUCUGGAUGGUUGGCUGCAGCCACGGCGCUCUGACCUGACGCAUCCGUGUCACAGUGCCUUCUCCACGCCGAUCCCAACGCCAAGCCAAGCCUCCCUGUGAUGCAAGUUGGAAACUUUACCAAAGCCUGCGGACCAGCAGUGAAUAAUGUCAGCCAGAGAGCUGGUUCACUAAGUUCUUAAUGCCUUUGAGCAAGCAAGGCCAAAGGGUAAGCAAGCGGUGUUUUACAGUCUCCGUGGAUACACAAAACAUGGAAGAUUGAGGACAGAGCAGCCUGGGCUUUGCCAGAGACCCAGCCAAAAGAAAGGCCCAGCAGAGGCUUGUGAGACAACAGAGGAAGCUUGCUGAGCUUCCCAAAACCAGCUGCGCUCCAGCUUUCCAAGCUGCACGAGUCCACCCCAAGCCCCAGGAGCACUCAUCUUCCCUGGGAGUACGUGUCAUGUUAUCCAGAUGUUGGAAAUCUUGCUUCAAGCCCAUGUGACCCCCGCGUGUUUGGAACAAGCCUCCACUGCCAGUUCACUCUUUACUUGUUUCCAAGUGUGUGAAUUCCUCUUUUAGCCUGUGGUUUCUGCUGAAGAAGCAGAUAAAUCAUGGCUAUUUUGCUGGAAUGGCUGGACGAGAGGGAGAUAGGCACGUAGGACGUACAGGGCAGUGGCCCAUGGCUGUUUUGCUUCAUUCCCGGUUCCCAGAACUCAUUUGCUGACACUUGGCUCUCUCCCAACCCUCUUCCAGUGCCACAGUGCUGCCCAGCCCCAUCAGGACCAGCGUUCCUCCCUGUGUGCACACAAACCCUCAGGAAAGCAGCUUCCUGAGCUGGUAUCUUCAUCACAUCCCCGGAGCCAGAUGGGGCAUCCGUGGCUUGCCGAUGCCAAAACAAGCCAUGCUGCAGCAGCAGGAGGGGACCUUGGCUCUUGGCUGCACCAGGGGAGCCAGGCCGGCCGCAGACCUCUGCCCCAGCCCCAGCUGGGUGUCCUGCUGCCUCUGCCUGUUGGUUCCGCAGCUGGAGCAGGCACAGCUCGUCCUCACUCCCCAUCCCGCCCAUCUGGAAUCCAGGUCACUUGCACGAGGACCUGCUUUACACUGGCUUCUUGUGCCUGGAAGCUGGGACAGCAGGGAAACCAUGGGUCCAGGGAGGAACCGCCCUCAGUCAUGGAAAACAGAACUCUUAAAAAAACACAGCUACAAAGUAACCGAGCCCUAGAAGCCGGAGUUUUGGCGUGGAUGGUCCAUGCGCAAAUGAACUCAAGUUCACUGCCAAGGUUUACUGCGGAGAAAGUAGUAAACAGAGCAGCUUACAGCACCUUUGGGCUUACACAGUUCCCUUCUUCAUCUCCAGCCCUUGCAGAUGAUUUCCCCACAUGUUGUCCCUUAACAUCCACCUACUCCCACCUUCUUUUUGGCCCAGGCUGUUCGGGAAGACCUCAGGCAGACGGUGCCAAAGCCAGCUUCUCUAUUUGGGGAGUGAGCAGCUGGAAGGAAAAGUCACCCUUGCUGUAACCUGGCUGUGAGCCUGGCCCUGCUCCUGGGUCCUCAGGAAUGCUGCAGCAGAAGCAUGGUGCCUGGGGGGGAACCCCUUCAGUGCUGUGGUGAGAUGACCUCAGGACUGGAGUCAGGCAGUAACUUGGUGGCCUUUUUCAUAGACUACAGAGGGUCAGGAGGGUUUUGUUGCUUGAUGAAUCCAGCUCAGGUCCAGGAUACCUCUGCCCAACAGCUGUGAGCCAGCCUGCUUUCUUCAGGACGCUCAGUGAUUGCCAACAUUUGGCAUAAUGAAACUUGGGUUUGUCUGUGAGUGUGGCUGCAAUGCUGAUUAAUCAAAUCCCCUUUGUGACUCAGGUCUGGGAUUGCCCUUCUGCCAAAUGAUCCAGGGGCAGCAUGGAAUGGGACAGCUCCACAGCACUGGCACCAGCCAGUGCUUCCAGACACCCUGAGCUGUGCAAACCCAAGGACAGGUGAUGAUGGGGAGCCUUGAGCCAGGACCACUCACAGGAAAAUAUUUUUCUUCUCCCCUCACAGGAUAUGAGCCACACAUGGAAGUGUCAUGCUUUGUAAAAGGAAAGAGAAACCAGAGGGGCUCCAGCAGUUAUACAACAUGCAGGAGCUGUUUGAGAGCUGCCUCCUGAAGGUUUAGCUACAAAUCCUUGUUCCCUUUACAGCUGUAGCCUUGUGUCUCUGUGCAUCCUGUAAAGCAGCGUAGAAAUGAAUAAAUAAAAAGGACAGCAUUAAGUAACACAGGGACUCUCGUGUCCAUGUGGUACUGCCUGCAUUAUCCAGAUGGAAAGUAUCUGUCUAGACAAAUCUGGGAAUUAUGCAAGCUCGGAAUUCCUGAAUAGCUCUUCCUUUCCAACAUCAUGAAACAUUUGCAGUGCCCACUGAAAAUACAGUGGGGAAGGAAACCCUUCAAUUCCAACAGUCAGGAAACCUAAACACUAGCAGUAGGUUGGAGAGGAGGUCUAAGUGCAGGAAUAUGGAGCAGUGUCCCUGCUGUGUGCACGCUGACUCAUCCUCGAGGAGCCAGGAUGAUCCCUGGUGCUCACUCCUGUCUCAGCAGAAGCAGAGCAGGCUCCCUUGAGCUCCUUGUGGUUCUCUGCUGCCUGAUGCCCUAGACAAGGCACAGAGCCGCUUGUUUCCACUUUUCCAGAGCUGUUUGUUUCCACGGUGCUCAGACAAGCAGAAGGAAUGAAAACAAAGAGGGAAAGAUGGGCUGUCCUGGUGCAAACCACAACAGCACAAAAAUAAAUCACUCUGCCUGGGAGAGCCAAAAAAAAAGCAGGACAGAAAACAUGGAAAUCCCACUCUGGCCCGGGAGGAGCUGCUGCUGGCUCUGAGCAACGCCCAGGGAUCACCGGGGCUGGGAGUUCAGCACAACUCUAGAGUUGUAGUGACCCUUUUUGGUCUUCUUGGGAAACAACGGCCCGGCCAGAGGAGACAAGAAUGGAGCAGCCAGGAACUCUCCCUGCAGAGCAGUGCAACCCAGGGAAAGGAUGACACAAUCCUCAAUAUUAUAUGGAGAAAAAUCAUUUUUUUAAAAAGCACAGGUGGUGAUCCAGCAGUCAUCCGGUUUGUGGCAGUUUUAUGAGUGACUCCAGGAGGAAUGGCUCAAACCUUCCGAGGGUGCAUCCAAACAGAAACGUCACUCGUGGUCAAUUUGGGGUCACACUGGAGGAAAAGGGGCCGACAUUUAUCCAUCUGGCCUGACCCCUUCGGUGCUGCAAAGUGUCACUUCUGUCCUCCCAGACUCAGGAGAGAAAGAGUAAAGAGCAACUGGGAGGCUGAGUGAUAAAACAACUGCUUGUACCAGUGUUUGGGGGCAAUCAGGGCAAUAUUUAUGCAGGGCCAGGGGCUGCAGCAGGACAUUGUGCCUGACCCACCGUUGGAUCAGCAGCCCGGAAAGCAGAUGUGCCAAUUUCCUGUCCUUGAUGAUGAUGGGCCCUAAUUACGCCAGAGCUGUGGCAAUGUCCUUUCUUGUGUACGACCCCUAAUUUGGUUUCAUGAAGUCGUCUGUGCCAGGUUCUUCCGGCUGCAAGGCCGGGGCGAGUGACAGUCACGAAGAGCCGCGUGCUCUGUGUGCCCAAACACCUGGCCUGAGCUUUGAACUAACAAAAUUCGACUGGGAACAAACAAAAUUCGGGCAACCCACCGGGAUUUGAGUCAGUUGCUAGGCUUGUUUUACCUCUUGCAGGUUGUCAUGCCUGCUGACAGGGAGCUGUGUGCUGGGGGGAACAUUCCAAGAUAGGUGUAGGCACUCAGCAGAGACCAGCUCUUAAGAGGGGCUGUUUGCUUGUGGGGGGGUGAAUUUUGGAACUGGGAGGAAAAACUCUUCCCUUUGUUUUCCCACCAGGGAGAUUCCCUCGCUGGCAUUGCUGCUGGUACUUUUUUCAACUUGUAACCAUUCCUUUCCAUGGUUUUUGUGAGUUUAUCUGGGGCUUUUUUCCUCUUUUCUUUCCUCAUUUUCUGUCCCACUCAUCAUUUGAGGAAUUCCCCAAUUUUGAAGAUUGCCAGCAAAGCAUUUUUUUUUUGUUUGUGUAUUUAAGCAGAGGCUUUUAUAAGUUUGGGAGAGGCAGCCUUUUGGAUGGCAUUGUGGGGGAAUUUUUAGCUUUUUUCUUGAGUGACGUUUUGAGGAAUCUACCUGGGGUUUAGAAUUUUUAUUUUUAUUUUUCUUCCCUUCUUUUCCCCAGGAGCUCUUUUUGGAAUUAGACAUUUGUCUUUUCGUGUAGAUCCUGCUUUGCAUGGGUGGGGUCGCUGCUCCUGAGUCCAGCCACAACCCCCCAGGUUUGUUGUUCCCUGAUUGUGGGACUCUGAUUAUUGUACCACUCUGGGAUCCCCAAGCCUGGGGAUCACCUGGGCUUGCUGCUGCUGGGAGAGGAUGGUGCUUGGGCAUUGGGCACAGAGGUGCUGUGGAGAUUUGCAGGGCAGUGAGAGGAGGAAGUACUGCUCCCAGGACAUCAGGGAUGCGCAGCGGGGACUUGGUGUCCACGUGGCACCUGCUUCUUCCUGUGCCUGGUGCAGCAAGUGCUGUCCUGAGGAAGAUGUGGGCUCCACACUGGGGAUAGGUGGCAGCUUGUGCCACCUGGAAGCUGGAGAAGGGCUCUGACCCUGCUUUUUGUAGCAAGUGAGGCUCUAGGUGCUGGGCAUGCAGAGUGGAGGGGACUGGACAGCCCUUGGGAGGGGUCAAGCAGCUCCAAGGGACACUUUAGCAGGUCCCUGUGGCAUGGCCAGUGUAGGAAGAGCAGAACUUCCAACUGUCUCUGCUGGUCCAGGAUGCCAUGUACACACCAGAGUGGAUGGAUCUGGGAUCACUGUGAGGAGGAUUGCUCUCUGUGGGUGCAAAGCUGCUCAGGGGCAGGCUGGCUGUGUGCCUGAGGCUGGGAGAGGCGUGCAGCAGGGUGUAGGGGAACCUUAUCAUUACACAGCUAGAGCUCAGCACUGGGGCAGGACAGCCAGAGUGGCAUGGCUGGGAUCACAGUCACAGAAUAUUCUGAGUUGGAAGGGACCCGUGAGGAUCACUGAGUCCAGUUCUUCAGUAAAUGGCCCACGUGGGGAUGGAACCCACAGCCCUGGUAUUUUAAACACCGGGCUCUCAAGAACUGAGCUAAUUUGGGGUCAGCUCACUUCAGGGUUUUAAGGCCUAACUAGAUUUUUGAUCUGCUCUGGUGUUAGCCCUGCUUUGAGCAGGAAGUAAAACCACCCGAGGUACGUUCCAACCUGGCUGGGUGGUUUUCCUUCUUGCUUACAGCCCCUGCCCGUGGCUGCAACUCCGUUCCCCUGCCCUGUGUAAUCUCAGGUCAGUGGAGAUUUGUACACCAAACUCCACAUCCUGAGCAUGUGCUUGGGGAAACACCACUUUGAGAAGGUAGGAUGGGGUUUUCACUGCAGUCAGCUCCUGGUUCUGCUGCUGUCGCAUCACAGGGCAGGAAGGGUGAUAUGGGAGUGUUUGCUGGCUGACUCAGGGCCCUGCCUGCUUAUUCACCAGCCAGAUCACACCAGUGACUUGGCAUGCAUCAGCCUUGCCCUGUUCAUGUGAGCUGCUCCCCUGGCUGCCUGGAUGACAAGUGUUUCUGAUCACCAGUGUGACUGUGCUGGCCUUAAGACAGGAGGGAAGUGGCUGGGAUGUGUCUUAUCUGACUGGUGUUUACAUCUCUGUGACUCUGAAUUACCUUUUCCUCAAUUUCUCUACAUGUAAGAAGUUUAACUUCUAUGCACUCAUGUCCCAUUGUCUGUCAUCCAAGGUUUUAUUCUUUUCUCUUCUUCCUAUGUCUGGGCAGUUAAGAUGGGUGGAGGUGGAGCAGUGUUGAUUGGAUUGCAGGCUCCAUUUUCUGCAGUGCCAUUGGCAGAGCAACAAAUGCUACAAGGGCAGGAAGGGUCGUGUCCCUUCCCCCAGGGACAAGCUGGUAGAGCAGUUUGGCAAGGACUUUGUAUGUUUCCAUGGCUUAGCAGGGUGCAGGGGAUGGUGCUUGGCACUGUUUUUGGGGAACAGGUAGAGUUGCAACAGCCAAAUAGCCACAGGAAGAGAGCUGGGGUACUAAACUGUCAUCCCCCAUGGGGCAGGAUUUUCAUGGGCCUGUUGGAUUCCUGUGCCUGUAAAAAGGCCUUUUAAAGGAAAUGUUUUGCUCAGCAAAGCUAGCCGAGAAGCAGAAUAGCUCAUGGUACAAUGGUGCUAUGGCACCAUAGCCCAGGACACCUGUAGUGACGCAUGUUGAGCAGGAAGGGCCUUCAGGCCCUGCUGAGGAUAUGCAAAGACGUGGUUUAGUUCCUUGGAAAACUCAUUUCCUGAGUGGGAGACAGUGAUGAAUCGGUGUGUGUUCACCUGGGCAGCUCAUCUUGUGGCACAGACAAGCCAUGGUGCAUAAGCUCCUCAGUAGCUCCCUGCCAGUCCUGUGCUCUCCCUCUACUCAGGAGCACUUACUUGUUUUGCUUGCUGUUCCAGGAUUUUGUGCUCCUGCCCUAGCCCAAACUGUUGGAAGAAGCUGCACUUCAGAGAAUGAGCCAGAGUCACCGUGGGCUUGGAAAGGGGUAACCACAAAAUCGUCACCGGAUUUGGAGAUGUGCCCUCUUCCUUUGUGCCACCCACUUCCUCUGGAUUGCACCAUCAAGACUGAGACAGACUCUGCAGACCCACUGCACGAGAAGUGACUCGGAUGUGGCUGCCAGCCUGAGAGGCUCGUGCGAGCACAGCUCUGUGGGGACGGAGCAGAAAUCCCGGUCUGUCGGAAAUCCUGGGCAGCAGGGCCACAGCGGGGGCUGAGAUCCCAGUGCUAGUGCUCCUGUGUGAUUUGGGAGGGCAGAGAUGGAAAGGGGGCUGGUAGGCAACCUUGGGAAGUGGAACUGCAGGGCCUCAGUAGUUCCACUGCUGAGGAAGCAGGUUAACGGAAUCAUCAUUGGACUCUGCUGGCAUGUGGGCUCACUGGGGUGUGAAGUCACCUGAUGGAAGCAUUGCCCAAUAACAGAAAUACCCUAGCAGAAAAUGAGCUUUUGUUGCUGCAGUGCUGUUCUUCUGAGGUGUUCCAUCUGCUUUACAAAGAGUGUCUGACUGAGCCCAGCAACGCUUCCGUGAGAGCAGCAUCUCUAGUGACAGCUUCCAGCUGUCUAGCAGAUGAGAGCACCCAGGUGUCGUGGCAAACGGGGAGGGAAUUAUAACCAUCCCAUUUCACUGAGAGAGGGAUGCUCUUGCAAGAGAAAAAGGGACCACCUAGUUGGUCUGUGUGACAGCUGAAUGUCCUUAAGUAGGCACUAAAAAUGAGGGUGUGGAGUGUGCUGUGAGCUCAUACAAGCAAAUAUCACAGAAUAAGUCAAAAUAGUUGGAUUAAUUUUAUCUUUGGAAUGUGGGCUAGGCAAUUUUAGACAGUUACUCUGAAUGAUCUUUAAACUUCUGUGUUAAAAAGAGGAGAACCUCUUUUUAGCCCCAGGACGACCUUGGGGCUCAGCCUGGCACAGCCACCCCGACUCUCGGUGGCCCUGGCGGGGCAGGAGGGGCUGCCAUGUGCCACAGGGCACAGAACGCAGUCAGAGCCCUGCGCUGGUGCUGUGGCACAGAUGAUCUCCAUAAACUGUGAUGACAUUAAACUAAUGUAUGCGUUCUCCUACGAAUGUGAAUACCAACAAAUACAAAUCCCAUGCAAAUCAGGCGCUCGCGCAGUAUGUGCGAGCGGCUGAACAUCUGAGGACUCAAAUAUUAUAUCAGAAGUUGUUUCGCAGACGUGCCUGUUCCAAAAUUUGCUGUUACACCGCCCUUCUGUGUUCCCAUGGGAACUCUCAGGUGAGGGAGAAAUGUGCUCCCUGCUCCUCUUCAGCUAAAAGAAGUUUGUGAAGUAAAGCCUGGCUUCCCUGCUGGAUUCCCUGCUGGAUAUCCAAGCCUGCAGCUCCUUCAGAUGCCCGGCUGUCAGGAAAGACUCCCCCAGCCUCUGUGGUUUCCCCUUGGGGUGGGGGAAAGGUGGAUGUUAAGCAUUCCUCAGAAAAGGAAGCGGUACCCUCUGCCAACUGGCAAGAAGCAAGUGUUGGCACUAACUGCGGGAGAGAAAUUAUUCACUCAUUCUGCAGGAGCGCGUAUUGGGAAUCCCUCUUCCAGUCCUUGCCUGGCUCUUCCAGCUGUGCCUGCUGCAACCCAGGCGCUUGAAGGGACCUGGGGGGGUGUGUCCCCAAGGGGAUGGGAAGCUCCUUGGGAUGGUGUCUCAAGUGAGAAUCUUUUCAUCUCCCAACCAAACAAAGAGGGAAGCUGAGAGCUUUGCCAGAGGCUGCAGGAAGAGAAGGAGGCAGUGAAUUUACUGCCCCUCAGCCAGCCAACCAUUCAGGUUGCAACAGGAAAAGGAAAAGGUAGGAACAAGGGUGAAGUAUGCAAGAACACCAAGUGUAAAAUACCUUAGUCCAUGUUUUGGGGUUGUCUUGGGUUCUUUUAGUUGCUGCAGAAAGCUCAAGAGUUUCAAAAUGGUGCUGGAUCUCCUAAAAUGAAGUCUGAUGGAUUCAGCAGGGUUCACAGAAACACCCCAGGAAAAACAGGAGGAAAAUAACCCCAGCAGCUCAUGUACAGGCAGUCAGAGGUGGAGGGACUGGGGUGCAGAGACUUGGGCCUCAAUGAAAACAAGCAAUAAGAGAGGCAGAAGAAUGUGUUGUUUUAAACACCCAAUUCCUCAGGUUAUCCUUUCCUCCUGAAACCCUUGUUGCUUGUGCAAUCAAGACAGGAUUUAGGGGAGGGAACAAGCCUGUCCCGUGGGUUAUAUCCCACAUGAAGACUGUUCUCCCUUAAAAGGAGCCAGAUUUUGUGGUGGCACAGGGAGAUGGGAGCUGUGAAUGGCCCUGGAGAGGGGCCUGUCCUGGCAGUGGCAGUGGGUGUUUGCCUGGCUUCAGAAAGGGGGUGCCUCUGGAGCAGGGGAGUACAGCUUGGAGGAAGGGUUGGGUUUUCCCUGCUGAUCUAGAGCUCACGGAUAUGAUGAGCAAUGUGCCAUGAAACCCCUUCCAGCUUUCCCCUCAGUAUCCCCUCUGUGCUCCCGGCUGCUCAGAGGGUUCCAGGGGACUGCUGACUUCUGCGCUGAGAGAAAAUAAUCUGUUGUCUCUUAGGCAGUGGCAAAUUGUGUGGGCUGAGAUCACAUUUACCCUUAGCCGAAGCCUGCAAGUAUUCCAUGCGUAGCCCCCCUUAAUGAAGAGCCCCAACCUCUGCCAGCAGGUUAAGAGUUAGGGCCAGCAACCCCUGGCGUGUCAAUAAAUCUUUCUCCUGAGCUCAUCAAAUCCCCAGCCUGCCCGUUCAAGAGGGAUUCACAAGAGGUAAUACAAGCCUGACCUUUGUGCUGCCAUAUACGCGGGCGCACGUGAACCAGCUCAAUCAGCGGGCUCUUUCUUGUGGCUCCCUUCACUCGGGGUAGUUUGUCUCACCCAGCAGCUGCAGGAUCACUGCAGCAUCCUGGCAGCGAGAUGCUUGCCUUUCCCUGUCCCCUCCUUUGUCAGCUCCUUCGGGUGGCUUUGCCCAGUCUCCCCUUUUUGAUCCUGCGAGGCUUUUGACUUUCUGUCUUUCAAAAUACUUUGUAAUUUUGACAAUGUUGAUUUUUACUGCAGUAAGGGAAGAACGUGGCCUUUUUUGAUAGCCAGAUUGCAUGUUUGUUUGUUCUUUUAUUUUUGGCUUCUUAGAGCUUUUUGCCACUUUUCACUUUCUAAUUGUCUCUUUUUUCUAAUCCAGGCACUUAUGCUCAAAGCCAACAUUUCUUAUGGCAAUUUUUUAUCACCUGCUGGCUAGAACAGAAUAGGAAAAAAUGGAUUCUUUCUGGCUGAAGGACCAACAAAAGUAGGAAAACAUAAAGGCUUAUUUGAAAGGUUUCUUCUGUGAUAGAAUAUCAAAAAACAGUGUUUAGAGGUGAAAGACCUGGCUGCAGGCAGAGGUCUGGUUUAAGAUUUAGAACAGAGUAUCUCUGUAACUUGAGGGGAGGAAAGUGGGAUCCCAGUUUGUGUCACAAGGGAAAAAAACCUACCAAAAAGGAAUUGCUUGGGCACCCAGAUGGUUUGCAGCUCAGGAUAAUGCCUUGGGGGCUGGCAGCAGACAGGAGGUAAUGUGCAGGUCUGAUGUGCAAGGGAAGUCAGGCAGAGGCAGCGGUGGGCACGGGACCCUGUUGAGGGAGGUUGUGCUUGCUGAAAUGGGAUGCUGCAGUGCAAGACUGGCAAAGAAAGGAGCAGCACUCCUCGGUCUCUUGGGGAAAAGGCAUCUGUAUGUCUUGAAUAACACUGACAUGGCUGGAGAUGGCUGAAUUUUUUCAGGACCCUGUAGGGUGACAGUAUUUCGCUGAGACUGUGUGCAGGGAGUCCUGAGCUCAUUGUUGUUUCAAACAACAUUAUUUAAGCAGUAGACUGGAAAAGCCAUGUGUUUCUUGGAGGCACUGGUAUCUGUCCCCUCCUCCUGAGAUUUGUCUGGUCCCCUGGUGUUGCUGGGAGCUCUGGGGAUGCCAGGAGUCGUGCUUCCAAGGUAGGAGCGAGCUGCAGAGUGAUCUGGGAAUGGGCUCACUCCCACAAUUUCAGCCUCUGUGGACACUGACAAGCCGAAAGACAAGGUGGCAACAGGUAAUGUUAAAAUGUUUGUUGUGAAUGGGGAGGCUUAAUGCUAAACAACAGCAUUUUGGAAUCCUUGAGCACAGCAAGAUCCCAGGCAGAGAUGACAAGCUUGUUUUGCGGAUGAGAGGAGCGCUGUCAGAGGUGGGUCAUGGAACUGGGUGUUGAUUCCUGUGUACCUGCUGGUGCUGGCUCUGGAAGGAGGGCUUCUGCCUUGGCUGAUGGGGUCUAAAGCCUUAAGUGAUGCACAGGUGCUCACGUGAACCCUGUGCACUGCCCUGACACCUCGGUGUUGGUGCUGCCAGCCCUUCCAGGAACAAGCCCCAGCCAUGGACCAUCCCCUCUGUCCGUGCCUGCUGGCCGAGCCCCGGCUCGCCAGGACCGAUCCCAGCCCAGGUCAGAGUUUGGCAGCUGCCAUCCACCUUGGGCCACGUGUUUGGAAUCCUCUCUUUCCAUCCCAGCUAUUGUUUCUGAAGGCCUGUUCACGAAAGCUUUGUCUGCCCACUUGCUUUGCAGUAGCCCAUGAGCAGGGCCAGCCCAGCCGUGUUCUCUGGGAGGUUAUUCCUGGCUGAACAAGCUUUGCUCCGUGCAGCUGAUCUGCUUAAGUGCACUUGCCUGCCUUGCUUUCAUUCCACUAGCCAGGCUGCAGAGAUACCGUCUGUCUUUGUUCUGAUGUGAGACCCUUGCGUAGGUACACAAUCUUCCCCGUGGUGUAUGCUUCAAAAUAGAUAAAACGCCUUUCCUGAAUUGCAGUUUAGAUGGAUUUUGAUAGAGAGGAUGGUGGAAUCGUAUACAGAAGAAAAAAAUCUUUUAAAACGAGAACGGAAGCAAAUAUAGUUUAGUAGUAUACUCGUUACAGAAUGAACAGCAUAUUGUAUGUGCUGUGUUAGAGGUAUGUUAUGAAUAACAAAAGCACUGGAGCAUUUACAUAUUUGUUUUCAGAAAUCCUGGCAGUUGGAUUUCACCAUUCUGCGCCUCUUUGCCAGAAUCACUAAACAGUGGUACAUAUGGCUUCUGAAGUACCAUAUGCCGUGGAAAACGUUAGCUGAUGCCUAUACUGAUGCGACACGCUAUAGUCUUUAUUUAGAUUUUCUUGCAGUUUUGAACAAAGAAUAUUAGAUCAUGCAAAACAUUGUGCAAGCAGUAUGGAGUAGUACAUACAGGAAAACAUAAUGCAUUGUGCCCAGAGAAAAGCCGGCUAAGAAAAGGGGAAGAAAGGGUGGUGUCGGGAAUCAGAAUGUGCACGUGCCAAGAAAUGCAUCAAAGGGUGGGACUGGGCUUUGUGCGGCCAAGGCAGGAGGUUUUGCAGUGCUUGAAGCAGAGUCAAGAGCCAGAGCUCCGUGGAUGUGCAGGUUUUGAAUCAAGUGCUGUUUCUGAGAGGUGCUCCCUGUCACAAAAAGUAGCACUCAGGCUUAAAUCUAAGUGCGUGCUUGAAAUCCUCAAAGAGCAAAGGAAACCAUGUGCAUGAGUGCUUUCCUAGAGCCCUCCUUGGAGGAGAGGGGAUAACUGCUCUCUCCCCCGUAUCAUUGUCUAAAAAUAGUGAUGAUGAACACAAUGAGGUUUGCAAGAAGCGUCUUGAAAACAAAACAAAAUACAGUUUCCAACACAACGACCGCAAAGCCCAACCUGGCAUUAAAAAAUGAAUCCAGGCUUUUGUUUUGACAAGUUUUUAAAGCACUUUUCUCCCCCCUGCCCCGCUUCAUCUCGCACUCACAUCGGCCGAACGCUGAGGGGAGCCUGGUGGUGGGGCUGUCGGGAGCAGCCAGAGGAGAAGGUGAGCCCGAGGGGAAGGAGAGCCGGGAGGUGUUUCCUGCCACCACGGCUCCCUGCCGGAGCAGCGCCUCGCUCUCCCCUUUCCCUUUCCUCCUGGCUCCUCUGUGUGCAGACCACUGCUCCGUGAACACUUAAUAGGCUUAACUUUAAGCACCGGAGUAGAUCCAGUGGGAUAACUGACGUCUUUAAACGAAGGUGUAAUGUUUGGAGAGGAGGGAGCAGCGUCACGUCUCUGUCUCUUGAUUUGGGUCCUGCUCUUGCAGCCACACAGUUCUAGUGUCUGAGGAUGGGGGGUCAUGGGCUUCAAACAGCCUCUGCCAGAAGGGUGCUGGGCUGUCUGUGGUACAGCGAGCCCUAAACCACGAAAAGCAGGAGAUUGGGAAAAUCUCUCAUAAUGUGCAGACAUUCGUUGGUUGAGGCCGACCAACUAACCAGAACAGAGAGAAACCCAGCGCAGGAACAGAAGGGGGAUAAGGCUCAGUCCAGAAUGCAGCCGGAGCAGAACGACUUCCUGGGGAGGCGAGAGCAGAAGGGAAGGGCUCACAGCUGAGCUGUGCCGCAGAUGGCCGGGCAGAGGAUGUCGGGCAAGCCGCUGCCUGUGGGAAGAGCACGUGUGGUGUCGGGGAUGGGCUCCACCGCGGAACAGUUGUGCUGACCUGGGAGGGCUCCUGCUGUGCGUGGGGAUUUCAUAGCACAGGUAGCUGCAGAGAGGCCAGUGCUGGGGGGAGAAGCCUGUGAUUCCCUGCCUGGCUGAAAGAAGCUGCAAACUGCCAGUGGCCUUUCAUGGUGCAAGCAAAAGUACUGGAACAUUUAAGAAACUCAGGCUGCCGCAGGAAUUAUCUGUGAGGCAAAAGCUGUAUGUGUGUGUAGGUAGGUAACAUCUCACAUGCUUUAUGAACCACUACCUGGAUGGAUGUAGACAGAAAUAGAAGGCAGAAGGGGAAAACAGGGCUGAGGGGAGCUUUCACUGAGCGUCUAUCUGAGGUUGCCUCCCAGGCUCCCUGGAAAGCACAUAGUGGCUCAAAAUCAAGCUUCAUUAUGUGGUUGUAAAUUUGUUAAAUUAAUAAGAGGGGGAGAUUAACAUCCUUACAUCUAUCUCCAAUUGAGGUGUUCUAAUUCCUUUGUAGGAAUGGGUACCUUCCCAGAGCUUCUGAGCAGAGGAAAAUGGAGCCUCUCUUCCCAGAGAAUGAUGUUUGUAGCAGUGCCAAGCAGAUGCUCCUUCCUUCCACCUCUGGUCUCCACAUCUCUCGUAGGGCAGGGCGGGGAGUGCCCAGCCUGCCCUGGGUGUGCAGCUGCCCCUUUGGGCUGUGAACCAAGCUGUCAGGGCCAGCACUGAGCCCACUAUGUCACGAGCAGGGCGGAUGUGUGGGCUGCAGCAGGUAGAGCCCCAGAGGGGCAGGACAUCUGAGCCAGGCUGCCCCCUGAGCCGGUUUUCCCGGCUGUCCUGGCACCAAUCUCCCUGAGUUGUUCUGUGUGUCCUCCAUGAGCACAAGCAGGCCGUUUGCUGCAUUAGCCUCAUUAUGCUUCCUUUCCAAAAAGCCUCCACCGCUGUCUGCCUUGUGGUUUGGAAAGGGGUUAACGCUUUCUCCUCCCAAACCUCAGCUCACCAGCACAUCUCCCUUGUGCUGCAAUUAUUGAAUGACACUUCACAACUUCAUCUCCUCUCCUGCUACAUCUGCUUGCUGCUCCCAUGUGCAACCUUGCUCACAUCCCAAACAUCCAAACGCAUUGUUUCCUCUGUUUCUCCUGCCAGCAUGGAAAGGAGCCAUCGCUGAAGCAGGAUUGCCUUUGAGCUGGCAGCAGACGAGUGAUUGGCAUUGGGCAGCGCUGCUGAGACUCUGGCAGGCCGUUUAGCAGAGAACCUUGGCUAAUGAAUGUCAUCCACACCUAGCAGAUGUGCCACUGCCUGCCAUGCCAGAUUUUUGACAUAAUACAGGGCUGCUGGACACGACACUGCUCGGGAAAAGCCAGGGAGCGACUCGUGCCUUCAAUGUGGCGUUCGGUCCUGCUCGUGCUCUGCGAGAGAAAUGAAACCUGCGGGGGGGAGGGAGGCACAGCCGCCUUUCCCGGCCCUCCACCCUGGUUUUAUCGAUACAGAUAUACAAGGCAAACCAAAGGUUUCGGCUGCUAUUCAGUGCCUCCUCAUUUGUCCCAGAGCCGUAACAGUGGUGCCCUUUCUCUUCUGGCUGCUUUUCCCUGCUUCUGGAGCAGCAGUUAUGGGAGAAGCAGAUGGCUACUGAUUGGGUGAGCUUUGUGGCUUUAAUACUGAAUACUUUAUGGAAAAGGACUUUAUCAUGCUUGGUUGGUCAGAGGAACAACGGGAUGAGAUUUAUGACUAGAGAAAAUAAAUCUUUUUAAGUUUCAGGCUCCUUCACACACCCCACGUCAAGUUGCUGCAGCAGAGCUGGAGCUGAAAUCCUCUGCAUCUUUAUUUUUUCCCUCCCCCCCGCCCCGUCUGUCUGUCCUUUCACUGCUCUCCCCACCCCCUCUGCGCCAGGCUUUAGCAAACCCUUGCUAACUUUGGGGACUGUCACUCGCUGGAGAGGCCAAGGCCUUCAGAGCCCCCCAGGCAGCACCAGGAGGGGAGAGGCCAUCCCUGCAGGAGGAUUAUCCACCUGAGGGAAUAUGAGCUGGGCAGUCAGCUCCUGCCAGAGCUCGGCCAUGCGUAACCCAGCGGCCACCCAGGGUCCGGUGGGGAGCUGUGAGCGACAUCCUCACAGACCCGAGAGCAGAGAGCUUGUGUGGCCACCAAAGAGACACGCAGCCCACCGCCCCGAGCUCGGGUCUCCUGAGGAGACAGAGCCCAGCACUGCCCAACCCCAUGCCAGUCCCAGCGUGGGACACUGCUGCUGGCACACAGGGACAGAAAGGCCCAGGGGUGUACAGGAGGCAGAGGCAGAUUUCAGUCCUGCAGGGAUUCCCCUUCUUCCCCUUCUUCCAUUUCUCUCCCUUUUCUGUCCUUCGUAGCCAAUCUUGUCUUCUGUCAGGAUGUUAAAUGUUUGAAGGAAGGUGAAGCUAGGUGAAAGGUUUCCAGGUUUUACACCUUGAUGCUGCUGUCAGGCCAAGUAAGGAGGAGAAGCAGAAAGCCUGAGAAAAAUAAUUCUGAAAUAGAAAGUCAGCAGUGAUAGGGGGCUAUGUAUGACCCGUUUAACCAACGACAUGUAUUAUAUUUGGUGGUCUAGGUAAUAAAAAAAAAAUCCUGUGACCCUUUGGUGAAUAUGCAAAUUAAUAUUUCUAACCAGACUCUGUGUUUGUUGGGAAGAAAGUAGAGGGGAAGUUCAGGCACCAUCAGGGAUGAGGAAAGAGCCGAGAUGCCUGUGGUGUGUUAAAGCAGGUAGAGAAGGUAUGUCGGCUUCCUGGGGAGCAGGAGCAUUUGCUCCUUGGGGUGAAUCAUACCUAAGGCUGGUAUCUGGCCCUUUUUAGGGAUUUGUGGUUUUGUGCCAUGGCAGUGACCUAACCCAGGAGUCCAGCAUCGGUGAGGUGGGGCUGAAGGGUCAGAGGCAAUAGGAAGGGACAGGCACCCCGGGUGUGUCUGGGACCUGGGCUGGAAACAAGACAGAACACUGGUGGUGUGCCUAGGACCUGGCAAGGACCUGGAGGUAGGCAAACAUUCAGCUGGUUGUGGGUCUGAGGACUCCCAGCGGGCUCUGCAGUGUGAUGGGAUGUCUCUGGCACCCCAGCACAGGGCUUCCCCAGGAAAGGCGCCAUCCACGAGCCUGGUGACAAGCAGAAACGAUGGUUUCAGUCAUUCAGCUGAGGCCCUGAUUUAUUUCCACUACAGAGGCCUCUCUGUCUCCGGGGAAGGGAACCGUUCUAGCUGCAUUUCUCCAGGCACCAGGAAAGCUUGUGGCUCCACAUUUCGUUUUAAGAGGAUUUUCCAUUCCACCUGGUGUGCACCUCCCGGGGACCACAGCUGGCCCUGAGGCAGAGAAGGUAGCAAGGCAGUUUAGAGCAUCCCUUCGUGCCCUCUCCCCACAGUGCCCUGGCCCCGCAGGAGCGAAUGUGGCUGGGCUCGUGUGCUUCUGGGAACUCGUGUGCUCUCCCGGUGAUUUUAUUUUAUGAGUGAUUUUAUUGCAGUCACCUGGGAGCUCACUCUCAGCUGGGUAUGUGCCUCCUCACAGGACUAACCACACACCCGUGGGCCUGGCGCACGACACGACUCAGGC